AGGGGUAGACAGGUGGCCGCUCCGCCAUGCGGAGAGGAAAGUCCGGGCAUCACAGGGCAGGAUGGUCCCUAAUGGGGACUGGGGGUAACCCCAAGGAAAGUGCAACAGAAAAUAUACCGUCUCGCAUAUUGCGGGAUAAGGGUGAAAUGGUGAGGUAAGAGCUCACCAGCUCUGUGGCGACACAGAGGCUUGGCAAACCCCAUCCGAUGCAAGGCCAAAAAGGGGUCGCACUAUUUGUGCGAGGGGAUUGCCCGUCCCUUAACCCGGGUAGGCCGCUUAAGGUUCAGGGCAACCUGAAUCGAUAGAUAAAUGGUCACCUAAUACAGAACCCGGCUUAUAGUCUACCCCGAUUU
rnacentral:RNase_P_RNA from 1 species